GACGGAGCAACGCCGCGUGUGGGAUGACGCUUUUCGGAGUGUAAACCACUGUUCAUGGGGACGAAGCACUGACGGUACCCAUGGAGGAAGGCCCGGCUAACUACGUGCCAGCAGCCGCGGUAAUACGUAGGGGUCGAGCGUUGUCCGGAGUUACUGGGCGUAAAGCGCGCGCAGGUGGCUCAUUACGCCCGGCGUGAAAGCCCCCGGCUCAACCGGGGAAAGUCGUCGGGUACGGGUGAGCUUGAGGGUAUCAGGGGCUGGUGGAAUUCCCGGUGUAGUGGUGAAAUGCGUAGAGAUCGGGAGGAACACCCGUGGCGAAGGCGGCCAGCUGGGAUACACCUGACACUGAGGCGCGAAGGCGUGGGGAGCG
rnacentral:rRNA from 1 species